AAUUUUUUUGUGAUGAAAUAGCAUUUACCUUGGGACACCUAUGAUAGCCUAUGAUUAGUGUAAAUUUAUUUACUGAAU